UUGAGCCAGGGUGGGAAGCAGGGCUGUCCUUUGGCACCGUCUGAUCCGGGCUGCGGGAUUGAAGGCGGUGGUCGCUAAGCUAGGUCUAAGACGGACAGCCAGGGCGACAACCAGUCUGUCGCUACGUGUCCCCAGCUUCCCUGUUUCCGAGCGCCUCUCAAGGCGCACGCUCUGGACUUGUUCAGAUGGGGGAAGGGAACCGGUCUGGAACUCCCCACUAUUCCCGAGGUUCCCACGCCUCCAGAUCCGGAGAGGCCGUUUCGCUCCAGUGGCCUGGCCCCCCUGCCCCCUCAGCCUAGCCGUUCUUGAUCGUAAGUGCUAAAAGGAACCAAGAAGGAGAACUCAAGAAUCCACACAUAAGCCCAAACCCUGACAGGAGCCUUUUCCUCUCGCAUCUCCCGCCUACGCGGCCUCCUAGUAGCUUUUUAACUGCUGGCGGAGAAAGCAGGAGUUUUCUUAUCAGUGAAAUAAGUACAAUAUUGCUCAUGUGAGUGGAAUAGUCCCACUGUUGGAAACAUCUCUUGCAAAGGCUCAGCCUAGCCAGAAGACCUCACCAGAUGCCACAGCCAGCUGACCUUGGACUUUUCAGCCUCACGACUGUGAGCAAUAUAAACCUCUAUUCUUUACAAAUUACUAUUCUCUGGUUUCUCAAGAACCUCGGAUGUGCCUGGAGAUAAACCUGCUGAAACUUUCCUCUUGGCUUUGAGGAUUGGCCUGUGGUAUUUAAUUACAGCAACAGAAAAUGGACUAAGACAUUCCAAUUUAUCAGACUCCCUUUCAUAGUCAAGCAGAAGCAAGAAGAUGAAAUUGGGAUUUCUAAAUCUCAACACUAUUGACAUUUGAGGCCAAAUAAGUCAUUGUUUUGGGUCACGGUCCUGUGCAUGUAGAAUGUGUAACAGCAUUCCUGGCUUCUAUGCACUAGAUGUCAGGAGCACCUUUCAUCACCCAAACUGAAGACCAAAAAUGUCUCCAGACAUUGUCAGAUAAUCCUGUGGGGUCAAAAUCAUGUGUGGCUUUAAAUUAUUGUACCAUUUAAUCUUACACCAACUCUUUAUAAAGUUCAGAGACAAAAUUCAAGAUAAGGCUACAGAACCUAGACUAGAGCAAAGGUCUUUUAUUUCUGAGACGAGAGUUUCAUCCACUACACCAGAGCUGCCCCCAAACAAGUGCUAAAAGGCUACUCGGCCAAAGUUCUUCUGAUUUUUUUCUGCAGUGCCAAUACUGCGUCUUAAAGACCAGAACACACAUUAAGCCCUUCCAGGUUGCUGUCUUUUUUAUUGUACUUACUGCUUUAGUAGCUCAGCCUCACCUCAGAUAACUCAAUUCACUCACCAGCAGAUAUCACUCCUACUUAUUGGAUUUUUGGAU
rnacentral:lncRNA from 1 species